GGCAUUUAGUGCUUGCACCGAAUGGACGUCGACCGGCGCACGGGUGAGUAACGCGUAUCCAACCUUCCCAUAACUAAGGAAUAACCUGCCGAAAGGCAGACUAAUACCUUAUGUAAUCCUUUGAUGGCAUCAGAUAAGGAUAAAAGAUUUAUCGGUUAUGGAUGGGGAUGCGUCUGAUUAGCUUGUUGGCGGGGUAACGGCCCACCAAGGCAACGAUCAGUAGGGGUUCUGAGAGGAAGGUCCCCCACAUUGGAACUGAGACACGGUCCAAACUCCUACGGGAGGCAGCAGUGAGGAAUAUUGGUCAAUGGACGGAAGUCUGAACCAGCCAAGUAGCGUGCAGGAUGACGGCCCUAUGGGUUGUAAACUGCUUUUGUAUGGGGAUAAAGUCAAUCACGUGUGAUUGUUUGCAGGUACCAUACGAAUAAGGACCGGCUAAUUCCGUGCCAGCAGCCGCGGUAAUACGGAAGGUUCGGGCGUUAUCCGGAUUUAUUGGGUUUAAAGGGAGCGUAGGCCGGAGAUUAAGUGUGUUGUGAAAUGUAGACGCUCAACGUCUGACUUGCAGCGCAUACUGGUUUCCUUGAGUACGCACAACGUUGGCGGAAUUCGUCGUGUAGCGGUGAAAUGCUUAGAUAUGACGAAGAACUCCGAUUGCGAAGGCAGCUGACGGGAGCGCAACUGACGCUGAAGCUCGAAGGUGCGGGUAUCGAACAGGAUUAGAUACCCUGGUAGUCCGCACAGUAAACGAUGGAUGCCCGCUGUUGG
rnacentral:rRNA from 1 species